rnacentral:tRNA from 1 species
GUUUUUAUAGUUUAAAAAAAACAUUGGUCUUGUAAACCAAAAUUAAAAUUUUAUUCUUUAAAAACU